AUUGAACGCUGGCGGCAGGCCUAACACAUGCAAGUCGAGCGGAGCGGCGGACGGGUGAGUAAUGCCAAGGAAUCUGCCUGGUCGUGGGGGGUAACGUCCGGAAACGGGCGCUAAUACCACACACUAUCAGAUAAGCCUUGGUAGGAUUAGCUAGGUGGUGGGGGAAAGGCCUACCAGGGCGACGAUCCGUAACUGGUCUGAGAGGAUGAUCAGUCACACUGGAACUGAUACACGGUCCAGACUCCUACGGGAGGCAGCAGUGGGGAAUAUUGGACAAUGGGCGAAAGCCUGAUCCAGCCAUGCCGCGUGUGUGAAGAAGGUCUUCGGAUUGUAAAGCACUUUAAGUUGGGAGGCGUUACCAACAGAAUAAGCACCGGCUAACUUCGUGCCAGCAGCCGCGGUAAUUC
rnacentral:rRNA from 1 species